AUACAUCGUCACCCCGGCGAAGGCCGGGGCCCAGUGACUUGCAAAGGGCCAAAGCCACUGGGUCCCGGCCUUCGCCGGGGUGACGAAUCGG
rnacentral:miRNA from 1 species